AGCUCGUCUGCGUGCCCCGGGUCAUCCCAAAGGUCAUCCCAAAGGUCAUCCCAAAGGUCACGUUAUUCCACCCAACUGGGUGGAGGGGCAGCAGCGGGUUCUAGAUGCUCCCCUCAUCCGCGCGUUGUUACGGGAAGUCCCGUGUUUGUUUGACUCAUCCACCCACCCGACCUCCACCCGGUGGCCUCCACGCCCGUCUUCACCAUGCCGACCUGCCGGGCGGGUGGAGGUAGUGCUACCGUGGUGCUUCUAUGCUAGAAGAGGUGUGAUGACGGACACAAUAAGAGGGGGGGGCUGAGAGAGAGAGAGAGAGAGAGAGAGAGAGAGAGAGAGCUCAUAACGAAGUGAGAGGGGAGGAAGAGGAAGAGGAAGAGGGCCCUCGGAGGAGCACCCAGCGCCUUUAAGCAGAUGUUCAGGCAGAGAAGUGAAUCCGGCGCCAUGAACGGCUCGGCGGCUCUGCUGGCUUUUCUCGUUUUAUCGAUUUCUUCAAUUUCCAGAGGAGAAAACGUCACGUCUGUUUCUGCAGGCGAUGCGACAGGUGCUCCGGACGCCUCGAGUCCGUCGCCACGCGAGACCAGCGGCCCGCCGGCGACUCAAACAGCCGCCAAUCGAUCGGACCGGGGCCCAGCGGUCUCCAUGACUCCAGAAGGACGAAAAGACGUUUCAAACAACUCGACAGAGGACACCGUCACCAGCACGGCGCCCCCGCUGACCCCCGUCAGUACCGCCGUCAGAACCGGCGUCAGAACCGGCGUCAGUACCGGCGUCAGUACCGGCGUCAGUACCAGCGUCAGUACCAGCGUUGACAGAACGCAGGGGACUGCAGGCUACGUGGUCCUCGGCUUGAUCGUCCUGGUGAUCAUCGUUCUGUCUGUGAUCCUCUACUUCCUCAGGAGAGCCUCCCAGACGUACUCGUUCGACCUCCACUCGGCUCCCGCCGGCCGUCCCAACCAACCCGUCGGCACCUUCGAGCGCGUCCACCUGAGCGACCUGGGUGCGUCCUCGGUCUCCUUUAACAGCUGUGAGUGUGUGGUUAUACCUGACGUGUGUGUGUGUGUGUGUCUCAGAUCGACCGCCUGCUAGCAGAGAGACCGCCGGCGACCUCUCACCUCCCGCUGUGUCCAACGGCUCCACCCGGCAGGCGGAGGAGCGGCGCUCCGACGGAGGGAGCGGUACAUCUCCAGCUGGUCCUCACGCGUUCUCACCGGUUAUCGGCGCCGUGAACGAAACCGAGCAGAACAUUUGGCCCGAAUGGUUCCUUUAAGGAGCCUCCGGUUGAGAUGAUGAGAUGAUGAGAUGUUCAGAUGUUGAGGAGAUGUUGAGAUGAUGAGGAGAUGUUGAGGAGAUGUUCAGAUGAUGAGAUGUUGAGAUGUUGAGAUGUUGAGGAGAUGUUGAGAUGUUGAGAUGUUGAGAUGUUGAGAUGAUGAGGAGAUGUUGAGAUGAUGAGGAGAUGUUGAGAUGAUGAGGAGAUGUUGAGAUGUUGAGGAGAUGUUGAGAUGAUGAGAUGGAGAGCAGAUCUCCCACGCGUAGUCACAGAGCGCUUUUUAAGCGUCCGCCGGGUCAAACCAGCAGAUCGUAGCAUAAACCUCUGGGUUCGUGGUUAAGUGUCGAUGCCGUCGUCUUGACUACCGAAACAACUUCAAAGUGCAUUGGAGUCCUCGCUCACUUCCCAUCGUCAUGGCCACCAACAGCUGGAGA
ensembl:lncRNA